GACGAACGCUGGCGGCGUGCUUAACACAUGCAAGUCGAACGGAAAGGCCCUGCUUUUGUGGGGUGCUCGAGUGGCGAACGGGUGAGUAACACGUGAGUAACCUGCCCUUGACUUUGGGAUAACUUCAGGAAACUGGGGCUAAUACCGGAUAGGAGCUCCUGCUGCAUGGUGGGGGUUGGAAAGUUUCGGCGGCUGGGGAUGGACUCGCGGCUUAUCAGCUUGUUGAUGGGGUAGUGGCUUACCAAGGCUUUGACGGGUAGCCGGCCUGAGAGGGUGACCGGCCACAUUGGGACUGAGAUACGGCCCAGACUCCUACGGGAGGCAGCAGUGGGGAAUAUUGCACAAUGGGCGGAAGCCUGAUGCAGCAACGCCGCGUGCGGGAUGACGGCCUUCGGGUUGUAAACCGCUUUCGCCUGUGACGAAGCGUGAGUGACGGUAAUGGGUAAAGAAGCACCGGCUAACUACGUG
rnacentral:rRNA from 1 species